rnacentral:rRNA from 1 species
GGGGUAAAGGCUCACCAAGGCAACGAUCAGUAGCGGGUCUGAGAGGAUGAUCCGCCACACUGGGGACUGAGACACGGCCCAGACUCCUACGGGAGGCAGCAGUGGGGAAUUUUGGACAAUGGGCGCAAGCCUGAUCCAGCCAUGCCGCGUGUCUGAAGAAGGCCUUCGGGUUGUAAAGGACUUUUGUCCGGGAGCAAAUCCCAGUGGUUAAUACCUACUGGGGCUGAGAGUACCGGAAGAAUAAGCACCGGCUAACUACGUGCCAGCAGCCGCGGUAAUACGUAGGGUGCAAGCGUUAAUCGGAAUUACUGGGCGUAAAGCGUGCGCAGGCGGUUGUGCAAGUCUGAUGUGAAAGCCCCGGGCUUAACCUGGGAACGGCAUUGGAGACUGCACGACUAGAGUGCGUCAGAGGGGGGUAGAAUUCCGCGUGUAGCAGUGAAAUGCGUAGAGAUGCGGAGGAAUACCGAUGGCGAAGGCAGCCCCCUGGGAUGACACUGACGCUCAUGCACGAAAGCGUGGGGAGCAAACAGGAUUAG